UACGGAGGGUGCAAGCGUUGUUCGGAAUGAUUGGGCGUAAAGCGCGUGUAGGCGGGAAGAAAGGUCAGGUGUGAAAGCCCUUGGCUUAACCAAGGAAUAGCAUCUGAAACCAUCUUUCUUGAGUACGAUAUGGGAGGGCGGAAUUCCCAGUGUAGAGGUGAAAUUCAUAGAUAUUGGGAGGAACACCGGUGGCGAAGGCGACCCUCUGGAUCGAUACUGACGCUGAGACGCGAAGGCGUGGGUAGCAAACAGG
rnacentral:rRNA from 1 species